rnacentral:ncRNA from 1 species
GAGACGAGGAAGGGCACAGUAAGCAACAAAAUGCUACGGGAAGUUGAAAAUAGGCGUAGAACUAGAGAUUCCUAAAUAGGUCAACCUUUCGAAUUGCUGCUGAAUCCAUGGGCAAAUAAGAGACAACUUGGCGAGUUGAAAUAUCUUAGUAAAUAUAGGAAAAGAAAUCAAAAACGAUUCCUAUAGUAGCGACGAGUGAAACAGGAGCAGCCUAAACCGUGAAAAUGCGGUUGUGGGAGAGCAAUAAAAAUAUCGUGCUGCUAGGAAAAACGAUGAAAUGUCAAACCCUAAAUAGCAAUAGUCCAGUAGUCGAAAGCAUCACUAGCUUACGCUCUAACUCGAGUAGCAUGGCGCACGUGUGUAGAUAUCCAAUUUUUUUCGAGCCCAAUUAGAAGCCCAUUUGUUCC